GGCAGACUAACUGCUGUACCAAGUUUGUCCUCCUGUUCUCACCGUAGCUCCUCUCCUAUCGGUCACGCCCUCCAGUUAGCUUGCAGGUGGCUAUGUACUCAUUAGCGUCAAUGGCACUUUCUAUAAGACCGGCACCGGAGGUGGGCUAGUAAGUGAUCCCUAGGCUCCGUACGUCCUCCCUACACUGUGUUCGCUGUGCUGUCACCUAUGAAAGGUAUUUGGCUGUGUACCAGACGCUUCCGGGUAGUGUUUUGUUGAUCUACCGAAGGUCUUGACUGAAAAGACGCCGUGUACGCGCAGGUUGCACUUUCUAUUGGGAGAUGCGUUAAGGUAACAUUGGCUGUAUAUCUCAGUAAGGUUUGCCAUGUAAUAUGUGUGUGUGCAUGUGUACAUAUGUAUGUUUAUAUGCAUGUUUACAGUAACUGGAUCUACUAUAAUGUGUCAUGUUUCGCUGUAAGUCCUUGUGAUUUAACUAGCCAAUAACCUUUUAUUAUGUUGUAUGUGAGCGAUGCUUGUGUGUGAUUUUAUGUAGGUUUGCGUACUGGAGAGAUACCAGGGAGUCCCAUUUCCAUUCAUGUUGAGUGCUGUAUUCCUAGAGGUAAAAGGAAACCGUGUUGUAUUGUAUCUGUAUUGGUUUAGGCUGUAUUUACCAUAAACAAUGGAUUUUAACUGUUUGUUUACUCCUUUAGAAAGAUUGCCACUGCUGCUUUGCCUCCUGUAGAUUUAAGUAAUUGUAGCUCUUGCCUCAUUUUGUUUUCUUUAUUUUGUUUUGUUUGUCCGAUUGAUUUGGCCUAAACAUAGGCGUGGCUGGUUUCAUUUAUUUGCCCUCCGUCGUGGUGUGUCGGCAACAGGUGUGGUAUUGGCUGCCCCAGUAUUUUGCUGCGGUAAUGUGUGAUGGUAGUAAUGCUAACAUCUAGCUUUCUUGACCCAGCCAGUUAUUGCCAAUAGCAACCAUAUCUUCCCUUCUCCCCUCCAGAGAAACAGAGUGUUGCAGCUGUUCCGCGGGGCAGGUCGCCGGAUCUGAGUCCUCCUCUUCGUGUACUUCACACAGUAUUUGUAGUGGUAACGUGCACCUCACUAUUUGCAGUGAUCACUCUUUGUAGUACCUGUGCCUAUGCGAGCGUGUGUGUGUGUGUCUGUGAAUAGGCAACAGAAUCCGCAGCACGGGUGGUGUGUCGGUCUCACUCCUCUUCCAGGACAGGUAACCGCUCCCGAACAGCUGAUCAAAUUAACCCUACUUGAUUACAUGUAAUAUUCCUGGUGGCAGCCACUACCUUCCUCUUGCUGGCCUAUUGGGCCUAAUAUGUACUGCACUCCAUCCUGAGAAUCAAACCCAAGACUGACUUUUUAACUGAAUUGCUUGUGAAUAAAUAUUGUUUAUUUUUUCAUUGAAAUACCACGUCUCUGUCAUUACUGGCUUAUCUGUGUGCGAGAGCCCUCUUGUCUAAAUCAAGGUGUUGGAGGUCUAGCUAAAAUACAUCUUGGUGUGAAAGGCCCCAAGUGGCGUAGUCGAGCACUCUAUAGUCAAGACUCUUGUCAUCUGACUCCCGUGGUCACAAUCUGGCGUAGUCGGCAGGAUUAGUAUACAGAGACGUGUAUUUCAUUUGUUUUUUUUUUUGUCUUCCCCCCCCCCCCCCCCCCCCCUUAUAUGUUUAUGUGUUGUGUUCUUUUUGCUAUUGUUUGAGAGGCAAUAUACCGUAAAGCAGGUAAUAGAGGCAAAGCAGCAGCUGGCACAUCGGGGGACCUGACGAUUCUACCUUGAGGCACCACCUCACCGCACCCUCUUGUGGCCACCCCAGAAGUAAUCUAGCCCUUCUGUUUCAGCUAUGGCUGAAGAGUUACAGGAACUGAGGGAGCAAGUGCGGCAGCUUCAAGCGGACAAGGAGCGAUUGCUGUAUCUCCCUAGGGAAAGGAAAUGUCCUGUGUUCAGGGGCAGAUCCGGUGUUGGUAUUGAUGAAUGGGUGGAAGAAGUGAAUGCGUGUGUGCGUGCAAGACAUUUGGGUUCACGUGACCAGGCCUAUUUUAUGUUUGAUCAUUUGGAUGGUGAAGCAAAGGAUGAGAUACGCUAUAGGCCUAGGGCAGAGAGGGAAGACCCAGACCAAAUUGUAUCUAUCCUUAAAGACCUUUAUGGAUGUUCAACAUCUUAUGUUGCCUUACAAGAGCAGUUUUUCUCCCGGAAACAACUUGAUGGCGAGUCCCUACAGGAGUAUUCUCAUGCUCUUCUCUCUUUAAUGGAUAAGGUUAAACAAACUUCCCCUGGAUCAGUGCCCCAAUCUGACUUGCUGCUGCGUGAUCAGUUUGUAGAGCAUGUCAUCGACUCUGAUCUUCGUAGAGAAUUAAAGCGGUUGGUACGUCAGACUCCAGGGCUGUCCAUGUUAGAGGUGCGGGCUGCAGCCAUUCGGUGGGAGCGUGAAGGUAGGCCCAGCGACUUCCCCCGAGGUAGAAGUUAUUCAGUCCCUUCCCUCUGUGCUAUGCAGACCUCUAGAGGUCAGUAUAUUCCCC